UAAGGGUAUCAACUAGUCAAUUAG
rnacentral:siRNA from 1 species